GUGCAGCAGGCGAGAAUUUUUCUCAAUGGGCGAAAGCCUGAAGGAGCGACGCCGCGUGGGGGGAUGAAUGGCUUCGGCCCGUAAACCCCUGUCAUUUGCGAACAAAUUGACUCACCCAACACGUGUGUCAUUGAUUGUAGCGGAAGAGGAAGGGACGGCUAACUCUGUGCCAGCAGCCGCGGUAAUACAGAGGUCCCAAGCGUUGUUCGGAUUCACUGGGCGUAAAGGGUGCGUAGGCGGUUGGGUAAGUCUGACGUGAAAUCUCCGGGCCUAACCCGGAAACUGCGUUGGAUACUAUCCGGCUAGAGGAAUGGAGGGGAGACUGGAAUACUUGGUGCAGCAGUGAAAUGCGUAGAUAUCAAGUGGAACACCAGUGGCGAAGGCGAGUCUCUGGACAUUUCCUGACGCUGAGGCAACGAAAGCC
rnacentral:rRNA from 1 species